rnacentral:rRNA from 1 species
AACGAACGCUGGCGGCAGGCUUAACACAUGCAAGUCGAACGAUCUCUUCGGAGAUAGUGGCAGACGGGUGAGUAACGCGUGGGAAUCUACCCAACUCUACGGAAUAACAGUUAGAAAUGACUGCUAAUACCGUAUACGCCCUUCGGGGGAAAGAUUUAUCGGAGUAGGAUGAGCCCGCGUUGGAUUAGCUAGUUGGUGAGGUAAUGGCUCACCAAGGCGACGAUCUAUAGCUGGUCUGAGAGGAUGAUCAGCCACACUGGGACUGAGACACGGCCCAG